rnacentral:lncRNA from 10 species
CAUGUGUCCAGGAGUGAGCUGCCGCGGGUUACAUCAUCAGCAUGACUCCAGCUUGGCACCCACUCCUGAUACCCCUGAUGUCUCGUAAGAGGAACCUCGCUGGACAUAUGGUGUUGCAGUUUGAAAGAAAAUGGGCAGCCUUACCGGGUAGUUUUUAUCAAGAUAAUGAAUUUGCCAUGUUCUUGGCUUCACCUCUUACCCUCAGAAAUCUGAUUCCCUCAACUAACAAGAAAGUAUAUGACUUUACAGUCACAAGAUUUGCUUAUAUAUCGGAUGCCAAUUCAUUUGCUGACCAUGAGAAACGCAGCUCUCGUCAGGACUAGAAUACCAUCAACACAGCCUGUGUAUUCUUUCCCCACGGGGAGAGCCAUUGGAAAGCCAAGCUAUGACACCAAGACAUUCCCUGGUCAACAGGGACUCAGAGUGGAAGGAGGUGACUGAAUGAUCCAAGAAUAUGCAUUAGCCUAAGCCUUACCCUCUCCCCCAUGGUCUUAUCCAUGGGAUCAAAACUGGGGAAGUCCAUUAGCCAAGGUUCUCUCUCCACUGAUAAUGCAUGGAUGGGCACUGCCAGAAUAUGAUUCUCAAACAUGCCUGUUUUCCAUGGAUGACUAACUCCCAACUUUCUGAUUAGUAUCUCUUCAUAUGAAUCCAACUUCUCCAGAGGACUCUAAUCCUCUUCAUGUAGUAGGCUUCCCUAGGCUUGCCUUGGUAGCCCCAAGCCUACCUGAAAUUACUUUCAAGAGACAAUUGUAACUCAGAGGCUGAGGUGGGAGGAUCGCUUGAGGCCAGGAGUCUGAGACCAGUCUGGGCAAUAUAGUAAAACUCUGUCUCUAAAAAAUAAAAAAGAGACAACAAAGAAAUACAAAAGAGCCCACCCCAGGACGUAAGCAUUAGCUAACCUUCUGAAAUCUCAUAACCCCAAAGUGAAUUGAAAUGUACCAGAGGGUAAUCCCCAAACACCAUCUACCUUUCUCUAACCACCUCGCCACCUGUGCAUGAUGCCCAUAUCUUGUAACCUUCUCGUAUACUGUGCAAACAUUCAUCAGAAAGCUUCCUUCCGCCCCGCCUUCCCCAAAGUGCCACCCGUACCACCAUCUGCGAACCAAAUAGCAAAGGAGGAGAUUAAGGAACCUGCAUCACAUCAAGCAAGUCUUCACAGUACUGUAUGCUUCAUGCAUUUAAGCUUUUAAAAUAAAGGAACUAGGCCAGGCACAGUGGCUCACACCUGUAAUCCCAACACUUUGGGAAGCUGAGGCGGGCAGAUCACUUGAGCACAGGAGUUUGAGAGCAGUCUGGCCAACAUGGUGAAACCCUGUCUCCACUAAAAAUACAAAAAUUAGCCGGGCGUGGUGGCACACACCUGUAAUCCCAGCUACUCAGGAGGCUGAGCAGGAGAAUCACUUAAACCUGGGAGGCGGAAGUUGCAGUGACUGGGGAUCAUGCCACUGCACUCCAGCCUGGGAGACAGAGCAAGACUCUAUCUCAACAAAAAAGAAAAAUUUUUAAAAAGGAACUAGAAGAAGGAAAAUUACAAUGGAGAGGCUCAGGAGCAGCGGUCUAGGGCAGCUGUCCUCAGAUGACCCAUCUGAGUGCAAUCGCUACCCAGGUACCAUCUGGAAUUUUUGCCUCCACUCCUCUCUCACCAGAGCGAUUCUUUGGUAACUAGGAACUAUGCCCUCACAUCUGUUGUUAUUAGUUGUCUUAACCAGACCCUAACAAGGAUUUUUUUUAGAGAAUUUUUGUUUUGUUUUGUAUGAAGAAAUCUUACUAAAUCUGACUAAAAUUAAAUUUUAAAACCUCCCAGAAGACUCUUCCGUGUUCCAUUUCCCAUGAGGCUUUACAAACCUGGCCCAAGAUGGGUGUGUGUGUGAGAGAGAGAGAGAGAGAAAAAAAAAAAAAGAGAAACGAGAGAGAGAGAGAGAGAAGUCAGGAACUAGAAGAGUGAGACCCACACUUGCCAUUUUUCUAAAACAAGGUUCAAGGCAACUUUCACUAUCAUAGUUAGCUACCCAUGGGUAAACUGUGUCUCCUCUUUUUUGCACCGUUGUUCACAUAAUGAUACAGAGGGUUUUGUUUUUGUACCACACAAAAAGUCUGUUUUCCCUUCUCCCUCUUUUAAUGAUAUUCUCCUGGCUGAAUUCUAGUGUCUUCCCAACCAUGAGUCAUCUCUGCUAUUCCUGCAUAAAGUAGAGUGUUCUGGGCCUCUCACUUCUAAGAAGGACUAUAGUUUAGAAAAAUCUGAUAAGAUGAUAAGAUCCCCACAGCACACGUCUCGCUCUGAGAUUAUUAGGGACUCAGUUUAGGGGAACCUUCCCUAUAGGGAGAUGGCAAAGGAAGCAGUUCCCCAAUCUAUCAGCAGUGGCUGCCAUCCACAUGAUAAGGAUCCCCUGCAAGGAAGUCUGACCCUGGGGGUUUCAGCCAGCUGGCACGGCCAGCAUCCAACAAGUCCCCAUCAGGGAGCAUCUUACCAGAAGGUCCCUGCUUACAUGGAGUGAAUCAAGGGUGAUAAAAAGUCCUCUCCCUACCAAAUAUAUCUUCCAUCCUUGGAGCAGCCCUUUCUCUUGAGGUUUGGUACUUUGUUGAAAUGCAAAUAUCCCUGAAAGGUAAAGACUUUUUUUUACCAUUAGCAUGUUUACACAAAUGUGCAUCCAGUCCCAUUCUUUCCUCAAAGCCAGUUUUGAUUGGAGGAGAAGGAAGUUUUUUAAAAAAUCACCUAUAUACAAAAGAGAGGUGAGGAUCAGAAGAUAUAUCUUCCUGGGCAUUAAUCCUAUUCUCUCGCCCAUUCCCAGCUAAGUGCAAGCCCUCGUUGACUUCAAAUAGCACCGGUAGCCCACCAGUUUUCCAUGUCAUCUGUGGAUUAUCUGAAGUGACAUUAAUCUGAACUCUCAACAAUAUCAAUCAUGCAAUAAUUCCUCAAACGUGUUGCACUCUGACGAUAGGCUGGCAAUAUUCUAGAUUUUGCACAGAGGACAAAGGAAACUGAGGAAGUCUAAUCCAUCCCAAGGUCAAGUGUCCAAUGUAUGGAUGAAGAUUGCCUAGGUUCAUAAUAUUGAUCAUAACGAAGAUGUUAAGGAAGGAUUUGGCAGUUAAUUCGCUUCAUUUGCUAUCCACCCUACAGUCCUAGGAAGUAUCUGUAUUCAUAAUUUAUAAAGCAGUUGAGGCCCAGGGUAGUGAAGUCAGGGCAGCCUCCAAAUUUAAUCAUCUAAAUCAUUAUGUACCCUGGGAGUUGUUUACAAUGUUUUCCUGGGAAGAUGUAUUUUUAAAGCAUCGGAUGACUCAGAAGCAUAGUCCAGCUGGAGGAAUACUGUUAGACAGCUCGGGGCAGCUUUCUCAGACAGCUUUUCAUUUGACCAUCACAAUUCGAGAAGGAAGGAUUUUGACAUUAUAAUUCCCAUUUUACAACUGAAGCAGCUUAGGCACAGAAAAAACAAUCCAGCUAAAAAGUAAAACAAAACAAAACAAAUCUUCUCUCUUUUUCCAUUUUAUUUCCUUUUCAUCUCUUACAAACAAACUAACGGAACUAUCAGAACUAAUUAUCUCAUGCACAAUCAUUUAUGACUCCACUGUUUGCAAAACCUCUUUUGGUCUUUGUACCAUCCACAUAAGAGCAAUCAAACAGCUCGCUAAAAAUCCUGUGAAACUACCCCCAAGACAUCACCUAUGACGCUUAAAUGUCUUCCUGCAUCACUUCAUUUUUGCCAUUAAAAAUAAUCAACAUUACACUUUGGGAGGCCGAGGCAGGCGGAUCACUUGAGGCCGGGAGUUCAAGACCAGCCUGGCCAACAUAGUGAAAGCCCGUCUCUGCUAAAAAUACAACAACAAAAAAAUUAGCCAGGCAUGGUGGUACACGUCUGUAAUCCCAGCUACUUGUGAGGCUGAGGCACAAGAAUCUCUUGAGCCCAGGAGGCAGAGGUUG